UGUUUGAUUGGUUUCGCAUUGG
rnacentral:piRNA from 1 species